CCCCACUGCUAUCGGGAUGGGACUAAGACAUGCUAGUCGAGCGUCUCCAAGCUAUGGAAGAGACGCGGCACACAGCUCAGUAACACGUGGCUAACCUGCCCUUGGGACAAGGACAACUCCGGGAAACUGGGGCUAAUCCCUGAUAAGUGAGAACUCCUGGAAUGGAUUCUCGCUCAAAGGACGUUUAGACCAUGCUUCUAAGCGUCGCCCAAGGAGGGGGCCGCGACCGAUCAGGUUGUUGGUGAGGUAACGGCUCACCAAGCCUUUAACCGGUACGGGCCGUGAGGGCGGAAGCCCGGAGAUGGGCACUGAGACAAGGGCCCAGGCCCUACGGGGCGCAGCAGUCGCGAAAACUCCGCAAUACACGAAAGUGUGACGGGGCCAUCCCGAGUGCCAUCCGCUGAGGAUGGCUUUUCCCCAGUGUAUAAAGCUGGGGGAAUAAGGAGAGGGCAAGCCUGGUGUCAGCCGCCGCGGUAAUACCAGCUCUCCGAGUGGUGGGGAUGUUUAUUGGGCCUAAAGCAUUCGUAGCCUGCUUGGCAAGUCCUCCGUUAAAUCCAACGAUUCAAUCGUUGGGCUGCGGGGGAUACUGUCCGGCUAGGGGGCGGGAGAGGCCGACGGUAUCCUCGGGGUAGGGGUGAAAUCCUAUAAUCCCGGGAGGACCACCAGUGGCGAAGGCUGUCGGCUAGAACGCGCUCGACGGUGAGGGAUGAAAGCUGGGGGAGCGAACCGGAUUAGAUACCCGGGUAGUCCCAGCUGUAAACGAUGCAGGCUAGGUGUUGGCGCGGCUACGUGCCGCUCCAGUGCCGCAGGGAAGCCGUUAAGCCUGCCGCCUGGGAAGUACGGCCGCAAGGCUGAAACUUAAAGGAAUUGGCGGGGGAGCACCACAAGGUGUGAAGCUUGCGGUUU
rnacentral:rRNA from 1 species